rnacentral:rRNA from 1 species
AACGAACGCUGGCGGCAUGCCUAACACAUGCAAGUCGAACGAGACCUUCGGGUCUAGUGGCGCACGGGUGCGUAACGCGUGGGAACCUGCCCUUAGGUUCGGAAUAACUCCCCGAAAGGGGUGCUAAUACCGGAUAAUGUCUUCGGACCAAAGAUUUAUCGCCUUUGGAUGGGCCCGCGUUGGAUUAGCUAGUUGGUAGGGUAAAAGCCUACCAAGGCGAGGAUCCAUAGCUGGUCAGAGAGGAAGAUCAGCCACACUGGGAGUGAGACACGGCCCAGACUCCUACGGGAGGGAGGAGUGGGGAAUACUGGAAAAUGGGGGAAAGGCUGAUGCAGCAAUGCCGGGAGAGUGAUGAAGGCCGGAGGGUAGUAAAGCGCUUUUACCCGGGAUGAUAAUGACGGUACCGGGAGAAUAAGCUCCGGCUAACUACGUG